rnacentral:lncRNA from 1 species
UUUUUUUUUUUUUUUUGGCAUUUUCAACUGCUUGAUUUUGAAAAAAAAUUAGGCAGUGACAAUAUAAAGCAUUAUAGUUAAAAUACCACAGCGUGAGAUCAAUUUAGACCCAAAUUUAAGGACAUUGGACCCCUUAUCUUCCAUAACAAAGUUUUGGUGCUAAGAGGCUGCCAAAAAUCUAGAUCCAUGGGUCCAAACUGAGCUCCUGUCACCCAGAGAUUCAUCUGAAGAGCCUGUUAAAAAAUUUAGGUACCUUCAUGCCACUACCAGAGAUUCAGGUAGAUUUUGGGAGGGCUUCCUAUCCCCCACAAGCCUCAAAAAACUGCAUUUACAGCAUCCUUCCCCACUUUCAUUCAAGGAGAUUUUAAUAAAGGCAGCCUACGGCAAAUAUUUUGUGAGAAAUAAUAUGGUGUCCAUAUUAUUUUUAAAAGAAAACAUCAAAACACUGUAAGCCAACUAUAAUGGAAAAAAUAAAAAUCAUUUUAAAAAAUUAAAAAAAAAUAAAGCAAAUCCCACAAACCUGAUGCAAACUGUUAAAUGAAAAAUAAUGUGUUGGUUACACAGCCCUCUAGGAAGUGAAUGUGAGUCCUGAUGCCUCUUUCUUGGUUUAUUUCAACUCAAGAGUCCAUUUGUUGCAGAUUUUCCUCAUGUUUUCAAAGAAAACAAGUCAGUCAUCUCAGGUUCAGGUCUUGUUCCCAGUAUAAUAAAAAAUGUGACAGAUGCAUUUAACUGAAUUCUAAGGAAAACUAAACAAAUACUUUCUCUCAUUGGGGACUGACUGGUUUUGUUUUGUUUAAAAUUUGUGAUUUUCAAGCAAAUGAACUCCUGUGAAUUAAUUUUGCAAAUCUAAAAUAAAAUAAAGUGUCAAAAAUGCUAUAUCAAAAUUUAGGAAAAAUUAAAGAGAAUAAACCUAUACUUUGAGUCAUGAAAAGUAUAAGCAAAGUCAUCACCCACCAAGAGAUUAGCAAAGGAAAAUGGGACUACUUUAAUCGCAAAGUUUUUAACUGUUUAGCACUUUUCGGUGCCCGAAAAAUCAGAGGACAACUACUCCUAGAUGACUCUGAAUGGCAUUUGGAAAUUGACAGUGGUUUCCUUGUAAAUUUGAAUUUCCCUUUGAUAUUUGUUUCACCUUAAUUUAGCUCCAUGAGAUUUUACCUACUAUGCAUUCUCACUUUGGAUUUUUUGAGUUUGUUUUUAUUUUGUGUGCAUGACCAGAAAUGAUACAAUAUAAGACUUCCUGCAAGAAACCAUCUAUUCUAAUCAUUGUACAUAACAUAGGAUGUCUCAGUAUUCGUUUGCAAAUGUCUAUUAAAUAACUACUCCACAGACUUGCUAGGUACUAUAAAUAAAGAAGAGAAGAAUUAUAUGACUUAGUCAUACAGAGACAACCAAUUGUAAGCAAGGAGAGCAGAGUAAGUAAGCCAAACAUAUUGAAAAACACAUGGGUAUGAUUAGAUAAUACUGGCCUGUAUGGUUAAGUAAUGUGGAAUAAAAGAUGAUAACUUAAGAGCUACAAAAUUAGGAUAUGUCAUAAAAAAUGAAAAAAUUCCACAUUGAGGAUAAUAUUUACCUCUAUGAAGGAGUACAGAGGGGAAGAGAAUCAGAGAAAAAUGCAUGCAGGUCUUCAAUUUGAGUUGUAUUUUUUUUUUAAGCUAAAUUAUGGGCUUAUCAGUAUUUUUUUAUAUUAUCCUCAUACUCUUCUAUAUUCCUGAGGUACUUUGCAGUAACAAUUCCAAAUGCAUCUCCUCUCCAAAUUUCAUACAAUUGUUGAUACAUAUAAACUUUAAUGCGUCUUUGACUUGUAACGGAGAUUUGGCUUGUAGGGGAAAAUCAAGAUGGCUAAUGUCAGGAACUGCAAAAGAGCAAACAUACUAAUCACACAUGAAGCCCCUGAUAUGAUUUUCACAUAUUUCGAUGACAGUUCUCUGUUUGACUCUACAUUGAACGUCAUCUCGACCGGAAGUAUUUGCAUCUACUCUCAAAUGAACUUUAAUGGAGGAGUGUGUCCAACCGUACGUUAUUCGCCUGCACUGUCAAACACAGAGUCCUCAGUUUACAUUUCUGUUCUAUCCUCUACCCUCAGCAACAGACUCAUAUAAGCAAAACGUCUUCUGGAUGUCUCCCCUUAAAAUCUAUUUGAAACCCUGAACUCCUCAAAGAAAAAACUUAUUUGAAACUCUUACCCCUAAAACAUCUCUCUUUUUCCAUUAUUCUUCCCCGUCUCUGGUGGCAUCAAUAGCUCACAUGUGCUCAAUCCAAGAUCUGUGCGUCAUAUUUAACUAGGUAGUUCAUCAGCAAGUGCUACUAAAAUGGACUCUAAAAUAUCACAAAUCUGCACACUCCCCUCCGUUCCAGCUUCUACCACUCUUGUCGAGCCCUGUUAUCUCUCCCCAGAACAACUGCAUUAACCUCCUAAUCAAUCUCCUUCUUGCUUCCAUCAAGUUCCAGGCUCAUUUCCCUUCUUUACGGCCUUCGAAUACGCUCAACUGGUCCCCAGUCCAGGUCCUCUGCACUAGCUGUUCCCUCUCCCUGGAGUGUUUUCCUCUAGAUGGCCCAUAUCACCAUCCAAGAGGAGUCCUCUCCGAAAUUUGCCACAACUCUAAGGCAGCAUCACUAGUUCUGGGUCCAUUUUCUUUUGCUCUAAGCAUUUAUCACUACCUGAAAGUUACCAGAGUUAUUGUUAAACAGUUACGAUCGAGUGCGCAUGCAUGUGGCACAGCACUGCCCACAGGAGCAUAACAAGAAGUCUUGACAAAAGUGUUCAGCGCUGGUUCAGGGGCUCCAUGACCCAUCAGGCACCCAGGUCCCUUGUAUCUUUCUGCUCUGUCCUUUCUAACAUAUGCCUUUCACCUUCAUGAUGUUCUGACAAAAAGCUUUAAAAAUUUCUUAUUGUUCAUGGAACUAGGCUCCAUCAGAACAUGGACCUUGUCUGACUUGCCCACCACUGGAAGAAUGACACGUCACACCUUAACAGCUCAAACCAAUAUUUGUUUAAUUAUCAUAAAACAGUGAAAUAGGGAUUCUGGGAUCAUUCCUUCACCCUCGUAGUCGUGCGCAACAGCCAGCCCUCCAGGGUAAUUGCUCUGAUAGAUUCUGCCUCGAGGUUCUCUGAACUCCCUGCCCCCACAUUCGUCUUUACCGUCACUGCCUGAGGUCAGGGCUUAGCACUGAUCACACUACAGUGGUCUCCAAGUGGCCUGGUCACCUUCUCCUUGUCUCUCCCUGUGCCAUCUCACGCCCUCCACACAAACUGAUCAUAUAACUUCCUGAAACCUGUCUGUGUCUUCUCAUCGUCUGCUCCAAACAGAAAGCUCCCAAUAGGCUGGGGCGUAGGUCCUGUUUACCACUCUUCUCCCAGGCUAUGAACCUGGAGCAAGUGUAUGGAGUAGAUACUCAGGAAAUUCUCCUUAAGAGAAUCAAAGAGCACAUCGAAAUUCCCAAAAGUUGGAGUUCCUCUUGUGGUGGGAAAUGAACCUGACUAGUAUCCAUGAAGAUGUGGUUCGAUCCCUGGCUCUGCUCUGUGGGUUCAGGAUCUGGCGUUGCCGUGUAGGUCGCAGACGCACCUCAGAUCUAGCAUUGCUGAGGCUGUGGCAUAGGCCGGCAGCUGCAGCUCCGACUCAACCCCUAGCCUGGGAACUUCCAUAAGCUGCCCCUGCAACU